UUGCUCCUCAGAGUUGCUCUGGGCUAAUCCUGCAAGGAGCUUUUGGCUUGGGCAGUUUCAACGUUCACCUGAGACUGUGGAAUGAACUCGCCUGGGUCAAAUCCAUUCCUCCUGCAGCUUGCUUGAGCGUGUUGGCUCAGUGGAUUUACACCAGGAAAAACCCAUUUCCUAUGUAAGUCAACAGAAGGGAGCUUCAGUUCCUUGCAGCCACACUCAGGAUUUAAUAGUGAGCAGCAGGUUCAAGCUUUUGAUGGUCAUAGUAAAUCUGGAAGAAUCCAUUUUCUAUCCAAUACCUGAUGGCUGCUUGGAGUUCCAUCAUCGAUCUCCUUCACUCUGAUCUUUGCCUGUGAUCAAUAAGCAAACAUAGCAGAGCCUGGAACCUCAGUCUGGAUUUCCUCAGCCCUUUCAUUUUGUUCUCCUUGUUCAGCCUUAAAAAGUUAUUUACAAGGCCCUUCCAGAGGCAGGUGAUUUCGGCUGCUCUAAUGCUUGGUUUGUUUUUGUCUCCCCAAAUUGCUGCUGACCUGCAAGCAGUGGCCAAAUCAGACUGAAAUUAAAAAGGUGGUGGGAUAUGCCCCAGCCUCUCCUCAAUCAAUACCAGCCUAAAUUACUGCAAACCUGGAGCCAUGGUGCAUGUAAUACAUCAUUUUGU